CCAUUUGGGCAGAAGGAUCCUCCUUGGAUCAUCACUGCUUCCAGCCAUUGCCCCUUGUCCUGUCAUCAGGCAUCGUCAAGAAGAGCCUGGCUCCAGUCUCCUGGCACUCAUUUAUCCUUCUGUAUGCUGUCUUGCUACAAGCAGAUGAUGUCCUCAGUUCAGUACCUGGAGUCUGUGUAGUAAACAAGGAGGAAUAUGUGGGUGCACAGUUUGGAAGUCAUGAUCUGUCCCAGCCAGGUCCUGACUUGGCUGUAUGGUGAAUUGUGGAUCAUCUGCCUCGAGACAGCUGGAUGCCCCAAGGCACAAACUGACACCUAGUCUGGGUUUUCAGAUCCACCCAGUAAUUAAGACUCAGAAAGUGACUGUACGAAUAAGUUUGCAUGCAGAAGAUGAUACAGUGUGGAGUAACUGAUUAUAUUAGCAGUUCCAGUUCUGACUGGUGAUGUCCUUAGUCCUGCCAAAAUUCAGGAGUCAGUCAAGCUAAGAAAGCAGACGUCAGGAUGGUUCAAGAACUAGGACCUGCCAACGUGAGGUUUCUUCCAGUUGUCCACUGUUUCUUCCCACUGAGAUGAUUUGUAGCAAACACUCACCACAGUGCCUCACAUUUGUCUGCUCUUUAAUCCUGACCCACAGGUUCUCAGAUGGCUCGUCACCUCUCCCUCAGAAAAGCUACAUGAACUGCCACUGUUCUUUUAUGUGAAGCUCUCACACCCUCAUAACUUCCAAAUCUUCUAGUUGGUUUCAGCAAAAUAUCAGUCUCAAGCAUGUGAAGUUCCUACUACAUUUUUUGUGGAAUAGGUGUCUCCAUAGGUGAAGGGGAGAGGUGGAGGGACAGAUACACAACUGAGCAGUGGGAUGUAGGAUCUACUCAAUCAUUCUUAGACAUGAAAAUCCAGUUACAGAACUCAAGUGGGAAUCUAAAUAAAGGGGGAAAUCAGACCAUAUUAUUUCUGCUGUGUACAAAGCUGUUCUGUGUUUCUUAUGUAGAAGCAUUGUGAAGCUUUAAACCUAAACCAGAAAAAAACCAAGUGUUAGUUUCAGAAGAAAGGAACAGCUACAUCACAGGACACCCCAAGGGAGCCAAAGAAAAGAGUUCCUUGCACAGCAGAAGUUCAGACCACAGUCAGUAUCAAAUGCUAUAAUUGCCUGUGCUUUCCACAAUAUUUUUAACUGAGAUAUAGUCCCUGGAAAGUAAUGUAUGGGCUCAAGGAUUUGGUACUAUCAUAGAAAAUACCCUUCCUUGGGUCAUACAGAUUGAAGCUCCCAUUUCUAAGUAUCUCACAAGCAAAGAAAUCUCCCACUAAUGUCAUUCAUUUUUAUAGUUCUGGCACCACACAAGUUCUGACUGCUCAUUUGCUCUUUACUGAGGGCCAGUGACAAGCUCAUACCAAACUUACUGAAAAUAAUGAAAUAAAAGCCUUAAGACUCCAAAUGCAAAGACAUAGCUCCAGCUUGCUGUUUCAGAGUCCCUUGACUCAGAUUUACACAGGAGGGAGAAGGAAAGAAUUCAUUCACUGGAUGAAGUUACAAACUGCCAUUCAAAGCCCUGAAGAAUUAUUCUGAUGGUGUUAUUGACAAUGUGUUUAUGAGUUUCCUAGUGUAAACAGCCAUAUUCUCUGUGAAAACAAUAUAUGGAUGUAAAUCAGAGUUCCCACAGCUUAUUUGCUAACACAGACUUCUUGGAAUAGUUUUAAGGCUUAUCACUAUUUGUCUGCUUUCUAAAUAGGCAGGAAUGAGGAACAGAAACAGCAGUUAUUACCUCAGGCAGGUAUCUCCUUCAACAAGGCUACACUGGUGCCAAAGUUCAGCCUUGAUUUAAAAUUGCUGCAGGUCAGACAUUGAAGGAGCCCU